rnacentral:tRNA from 1 species
AGCAGGUUGGUGUAAAAGUAGCAUAUAAGACUCAUUAUCUUAUGAUAGACGUGCAAUUCGUCUACCUGCCCCCA